UAUUUUUUAUUUUGACACAGGGUCUUGAGAAGUUGCUCAGGGCCUCCCUGAGUUGCUGAGGCUGGCCUGGAACUUGCCAUCCUCCUGCCUCAGCCUCCUGAGCUGCUGGGAUUACAGGCGGGCGCCGCCACGCUGGACUCUAAAUGGCGUUUUGACAAAACUUUUCUCAAAGGCGAUGAGGUCUGAGGGUUGGCGAACAAGGCCCUGAGGGCACCUCCGACCUGUUGCCUGUUUCUAUGAAGUUUUCAUGGAGCACAGACACACGGGUUGAUGUAUUUUCUAUGCUGCUUGUCACAGGAUCAAGUGCAGAGCCUAAAAUAUUUAUGAUCUGGCCUUUUAUGGAAAAAGUUUGGAUGCCCGAUGUCCUUCAUCCAGUUUGCUGCAUAGCUACUAAAUCCCUACUCUAGGUUGAGAAAUCAAUUUGUAGCUCUCUAUUUAUAUAUUUAUUUUGCUACUGGAGAUUGAACCCAGGGUCCAGUGCAUGCUAAGCCUAUGCUUUACUGAUGAGUGACACUCCUGUCCCCUGCAGGUAUUUUCAUAGUAGUAUCCAUUUGAAAAAAAAAAAAAAAGAUACUUAGGACCUUUGGUGCUGUGCCAAUUUUCCAAGUGUUCAGAGGAGGAAGUCAAGAAACAGGAAGGAUUUAGGGCAAGAACUCAUGGCUGGAGGGAAGGUUCUGCCAUGAUUACCAGUGUAAGUCAUGGAUCAGGGUCAGCUCUUCCUCUGGCUGCACCUGGAGACGGUUUGGACCUGGCAGGAACAUUGGCUGUGGAGUGCACCAUUACUUAUUAGGUCAAUACUGUCUGGUCGACGUCGCAGACUUUGGCUUCCAGGUCGAAAGAUGGACCCCCUUGGCCACCAGUUGGUGCUUGGGAGGAUCAAGUGAGAGAAUAUUUAUCCCAGAACCUAAGAGUCACAUGUUUGUCUGAAACAAAAGCGCCAGAGAAGUUGCUUAUGAGAAAGUCAACCUUCCGGAAUCUUUCACUGUACAAAUGUCACCUGCAAAGACCUCUGAGAGUUCAAAAAUCCUUGUCAUCCUGGAAUGAAGCCUGUGUACACAUGAGAGGAAUUCACAAUUAGCUCAGAAGUAGCCUGUUAGCACUUACUGAUGACCUCAACCUGCGGCCGGCAGAAGGCAGGGCUGGACCUGCACAUGCGCUCACUUAAUUGUCUUUUUUUCCUUCCCCUAAUAAAACAGAAAAGUCUGUGAAACAGAACAAAACAAAACAAAAAAAAUCAAAUAAAUAAAUA